UGAAUUCACGGCAUCAGUUUAUUUUUUGAGAGAGAGUGAGAGAGAGAGGCAGCCGAGAAAGAGAGAGAGAGGAGAAAGAGCAUCGGGUAAAUUUUUGAGAAAGAGGAGAGCAUUCCAAACCGAAGGUAAAUUGGAAUGAUUUUUUUUUUUUGUCUUUGUUUUCUUGUUUGUCCAUGUUUGAAUGAGAAUCUAUUUUUUUGAACUUGAAGGAGAGCAUUCACGAUUUUUUCAACGUCCGAAGGCAUACACCAUGGCUUCUUCUUCAAAUCAAGUAAGUAUCCUAUUUCGUUGAUUUUAAAUUCGUGAAUAAGGAUGUUAUUUUCCACAACAAGUAGAAGCAUGUUAUUUUCGUGAAUUAUUUUGGUGACAUUGUUUAAUUCGAAUUACUUGUGUUCGUG
rnacentral:lncRNA from 1 species